CAGCACCUCAAGUGGUCAGGAUGAUUAUUAGGCCUAAAGCAUCCGUAGCCGGCGCUGUAAGUUUUCGGUUAAAUCUGUACGCUCAACGUACAGGCUGCCGGGAAUACUGCAGCGCUAGGGAGUGGGAGAGGUAGACGGUACUCGGUAGGAAGGGGUAAAAUCCUUUGAUCUAUUGAUGACCACCUGUGGCGAAGGCGGUCUACCAGAACACGUCCGACGGUGAGGGAUGAAAGCUGGGGGAGCAAACCGGAUUAGAUACCCGAGUAGUAC
rnacentral:rRNA from 1 species